GACGAACGCUGGCGGCGUGCCUAAUACAUGCAAGUCGAACGCAGUGGGGACGGGUGAGUAACACGUGGGUAACCUCCCAUCAGAGGGGAUAACACUUGGAAACAGGUGCUAAACCGAUACUGAUGGAUGAACCCGCGGUGCAUUGGCUAGUUGGUGAGGUAACGGCUCACCAAGGCAACGAUGCAUAGCCGACCUGUGGGAGUGGUCUGCCACACGGGGACGGAGAAACGGCCCAGACUCCUACGGGGGGCAGCGGUAGGGAAUCUUCGGCAAUGGACGAAAGUCUGACCGAGCAACGCCGCGUGAGUGAAGAAGGUUUUCGGAUCGUAAAACUCUGUUGUUAGAGAAGCGGUAUCUAACCAGAAAGCCACGGCUAACUACGUGCCAGCAGCCGCGGUAAAC
rnacentral:rRNA from 1 species